ACACAAUGAACAUAAAACAGAAAAAAAAGCACGAGAUUACAUAGAGAAAUGAACCUUUAUAUUGACUGGAUCAAAAUUUACAUUUCUGUAACUCAACCAUCGAGCCAAGAACAAAGACCAUGAUCAUAAACCUUUGCCGGCGGCAACCUCGACGGACCUCUCGAACCACAAAACAUAACCAACAAUAUGUAACCUCGAAGUUCCAAAAUUCCGAUACUAGCACUCGGUGGUUAUGGAGUUGUUUUGUGAGGUGUGUUUGGACUGAUUUUCGCUGCUGUAUUCGGGAAGGGAUUUGAGGUAGUAUUUGGAGGUUUUAAUGGCUAUUUUCUUGUGUUCUCAGGUGGUCUUUGUGACUGUUAAGGGCUGGUUUUAAAGCUGGUAUUUACGGAGCUUUAUAUGAUAUUUAAAGGGAGCUUAGGACUAGUGUUCAUGGAGGAAGAAUACUGCCUGUGUUGAAGAAAGAGAAGCAGAC
rnacentral:lncRNA from 1 species